AGUGUGUGUUGUCAUCUGCUGCUGCGCGAUAAGGAACAUUUUGUCAAGAGCGUACAAGACGAAAAGCGGGAUGUAUCUAUAUACCGUCCGUGCAUUGGCUGACGCGGAGGUAUGCUACCGACUCGGCUGCGUGGACGCGGGCACGAAGAAAGGAGCGCCGACUGACCAACGAUACUUUGACUGCGCAUGUGUGCCACUCAAGUGCAACAGUUCACGAGGCAUCCCAGGCCCCGAAAGAAGUUGGAAGAAGAUGCAAGCGCAGCAUGCCAAUGUUGUUGAAUAUGCCAGCACAAAGUUUCCAGGCGCAAGUGUUUCUUAUAUAAAAGAAAGCCUAUUCUCUCCCCUCACAAGGAAAAUAAAAUCACUAUAU
rnacentral:lncRNA from 1 species